GGAGCAAAUAGAAAAGCAGGGCCCUCGGUGGACCUCUAAUUCCCGCUUCGCCAAGGCUGCUGCCCAACUUCAGCAGCACCUAGUCCCUUUGAGUGCGUGUGGCAGCCUGCAGCUCGGCCAUCAUCCUAACCGGCUUCAGCCUCCAGCACCACCGGAAAAGACAGUCCCCUGUUGACUUAAAACACUUCCUACAAAACCGAAGUCUCUUUCCGAAUGCACUACCCCUGAUAGGUGUCCUGCAGACAAGGGAAGAAUGAGCCUCCAGCUAAUCAGCCCUUCACGAGAGCCAUUCCUUCGGCCCCAAGCCUGCUACUGGUAACCACGGGCUCCUUGUUAAAGGCUGUCCCAUUUAAACACAAUGGAAGGGGAGAGAGAAAAAUGUAACAUGCUGCCUAAGAAGAUGCAUGUAAGCAAGAAGGCAACGGGUGUGCAUGAAAUGGAGAAUAAUGAACUGGAGGGAGGGGGGCGUGCAGCUGUCAAUCAGCUGAA